AUGCUCACUUCUGCAGCACAUAUAUUACAAUUGGAACAAUACAGAGAAGAUUAGCACAGCCCCUGCACAAGGAUGACAUGCAAAUUUGUCUCGUGUUCCAUAUGUUU
rnacentral:snRNA from 1 species